UAGAAUGGGACCCUACUGUGCCAAAGACUAUGCAGAGAGAUGUCGAUGACUUCUGUUCCAGAGAGCUUAUUGUUAGUUGCUUUCACAUGAAGGAAACACAUUCAAUACUUCUAACUUCCAAUUAUUACUCAGCAUUUUAGCUACCGUACAUUGCAGAAGUCUGGCCUUUGCCAACAAGGUCAAACUUGACCUCUUGAAAACAGUGAAUUGAGAUUAUAAAAACCUUGUUCACGUUUUAGGGCCUACUGGUCACAAGAGUCAUUGUACUUAUUUUUAAUGCCAUUACACUGUGUUUUCUAUUUUGGUUGCAAACUUGAUUUUUUUAUUUUUUUUUUUUUGCAGACCACCUACCGUAACAGUAAGUGAAAUCCUGCAAAAAAUGUUGAUAUUUGAUGAAACUUGUUGUAGGCUUAGGCCACUGGUCAUCUUGCAGUGUGACCUCAGCACAAAAUUCCUUUGACUUUAAAAGAGAACUUGAGGAUGAAAAGCAGAGGAUCUGCUUGCUCCUGACGGAAACAGAAGGUCUCACCUCCUCAGAGCACAGCCUGCAUGUCGUCUGUUUCAAUUGUAACGCACACAACACUACGAGUAGCAGCACUGUGGCCCAGAUUUUUGGAAGCGUGUGUGAAUAUUGAUAGUCUCACAGUGUGCUAUCACCACUGUGCUCUCGUGGUCAGACUGUUUGGUCUACGGGACCAAAACCCUGGAAGCGUUAACACCAGCAGAGACAGUAAGGUGGAAAUACAGUGAAGGAAUCAAGCAAAUUUAGACCAUUGUAUCUGGCAAACAAAAAAACAUUUGAGUAGGAGCUGGGAAAAUUUCUGUAAAAUUCCUGAAGCCAUUUUUCACCCUUGUUCACCUCUGUGACACAUACAUGCUCCCUCUUUUUCUGCAAACAGUGGGAGAAAAACCCUUACAAACAUCUUAGAUCUCUUGUUACUAGUGAAGGAAGUCUUUUUCAGCAGGACAGCUGUGUUUCUUGGCACUGUACAGUAUUUACACCCACCAUGUAACAAGAAACCAGUGUUUUGUCAUCUGCUGUAUGGUGAACUCUUAGGUUUUGAAAAGAAGUGAUGGAAACACGAUCAGGG
rnacentral:lncRNA from 1 species